CCUACGGGAGGCAGCAGUGAGGAAUAUUGGUCAAUGGACGAGAGUCUGAACCAGCCAAGCAGCGUGAAGGAUGACUGCCCUAUGGGCUGUAAACUCCUUUUAUAUGGGAAUAAAACAGGGUAUGUAUACCCUCUUGUAUGUACCAUAUGUAUACGGAUCGGCUAACCUCGUGCCAACAGCCUCGGUAAUACGGUGGAUGCCAGCGUUAUCCGGAUUUAUUUGGUUUAAAGGGAGCGGAGGUGGAUUGUUAAGUUAGUUGUGAAAGUUUACGGCUCAACCGUAGAAUUGCAGUUGAAACUGGCAGUCUUGAGUACAGUAGAGGUGAGCGGAAUUCGUGGUGUAGCGGUGAAAUGCGUAGAUAUCACGAAGAACUCCGAUUGCGAAGGCAGCUCACUGGACUGCAACUGACACUGAUGCUCGAAAGUGUGGGUAUCAAACAGGAUUAGAUACCCCGGUAGUC
rnacentral:rRNA from 1 species